CAAUCCUUUUAUCUAAUUCAGACGAUUUCUGGGCAUUGGAUUUCAUUCAAGCUACUUUAGGGAGUAUAUGCCAUGAAUAGAAAUGUGUCGUUAUCAGCCUUGGGAAGUUGAUUCAUCACAAGUUGAAGAUUCUACACAUGCGGGAAAUGGCAUGGAACGUGUAGAUGCAAGGUGGGAGACACAGAUGGCAAUGUUGGAGGCACGGAUUGCAAAUGUUGAAGCUCGGGUGGAAAGGCUUGAGGCGAGGAUGUUGUAUUUGCAAAAGGGAAUGCGUAUAGUAUGUGGGUUGUUUUUGGUUACUCUUGCAUAUGCUAUAUGCAAAUGAAUGGGAUUGUGACUAAUUGGUUUUAGGCUUCUAAUUGGGUUACUCACAAUUAGAUGCGUACUUUAAAAGGUUCUUUGUAUAAAAUUCAGAUUUUUCAUGCUAAGAUGAAAAUACGAUGGCCAUUUUUGUGAUGCUGUUGUUGACAU
rnacentral:misc_RNA from 1 species